rnacentral:rRNA from 1 species
UACGUAGGGGGCAAGCGUUGUCCGGAUUCAUUGGGCGUAAAGAGCGUGUAGGCGGCCUGAAAGGUCAGCUGUGAAAACUCGAGGCUCAACCUCGAGACGUCGGUUGAAACCAUCUGGCUAGAGUCCGGAAGAGGAGUGUGGAAUUCCCGGUGUAGCGGUGAAAUGCGUAGAUAUCAGGAGGAACACCGGUGGUGUAAACGGCUUUCUGGACCAUAACUGACACUGAGGCACGAAAGCGUGGGUAGCAAACAGG